rnacentral:tRNA from 1 species
GUGGGCGUGCCGGAGUGGUUAUCAGGCAUGACUAGAAAUCAUGUGGGCUUUGCCCAUGCAGGUUCGAAUCCUGCGCUCACA